GUCCCUGCAGCACAAUGGAUAGUGUGUUGGGAUUUUAAUCCAAAGGUCCGUGGGUACAAAUUCCACCUGGGAUG